CUAGUGCACUAGGUUGGGAAUAUGGUGUCAUUUGGGACAUCUCUUUCCCUCAAGUCUGUACACAUUUACCAACUUCAUCUUCUCCAUCCCUCUCUCCACAGUCUGAGGGGAAAGUACUGUAAUACCCUGUGUAUAUAGCCUCCAAAGAGGGCUUAAAAACCUAACUUCUCUCCUCCCAUCUACCACUAGUGUUAAACAGAACAGGGCUCUCUAGCGCCCCUUGUGGCUGUAAGGCCGAGUGCAGCUCUGUACGGUAUACAGCAGCAGAGCCGAUAGGCUAGCUCUCAGCGGAGAGGGAGGGGUCUGAGUGUUGUCUUGACCAUCCCAGAAGGGUAAUAUGCAGUAAUGUUUCUAGAUAACUCUUUACACACCUUAAUGCAGCCUCGUUCUAAUGAAUCCUCUUUCCUUUCUGGCAAACUGUAAUUGAGCAUUAAGGAGGGAGGGGGGGCGGGGAGGGGGUGGUAUAUGACCAAUAUACCACGGCUCAGGGCUGUUCUUAGGCACGAUGUAUCGCAGAGUAUACAGCCCUUAGCUGUGGUAUAUUGGCCAUAUAUCACAACCCCCCAAGGUGCCUUAUUGCUGUUAUAAACUGGUUAUAAAUAUAACAGUAAAAUACAUGUACGGUCUGAUACCAGGGCUUUCAGGGCUCGACCACCUGGUUUCUAAUCCUCCUUUCUCUAAGUGAUGUUGAUGGAGCGUUAGGUUCCAGCUGAAGCAUGGUGACUGUCGGGGUUCGUCCCGUUCACUAUCUAGGGAACCGGGUGCCAUCUGAGACCGUCCUGGGUAUAGAACGAGGUUUGUUUUGAGUUUGUCGUGUUCUCUGCACGGCCAGGCGACGCUGAACUAUCAGUCGCUGUGUGUUGUUUUUCAAAUGAAGAUAAACGUAGAUUUAUUUUCAGAUCUUUUGUUUCUUGGUUGGUCUCUUUUCAUUCCAGCUGCUAACAAUGUCAUCAUGGUUCCACAGUCCGUGUGUUUCCGUGUGGUUCCACAUUCCGUGUGGUUCCACCUGCUUGAUCAUGAACCUCUCCAUAGCGCUGUUAGACACCAUGCCAGCUCCAGGAGGAGCCGGACGGUUCCUGAUUAACGUCUGCUUGUUGCUGGUCAUAGCCUUAAUUAGCAGUGAAACUGAUGCAGGGUAUUUACAGUCAAUGGACCUGAGUUGUAUGUAUUAA
rnacentral:lncRNA from 13 species